GAAGGGAGAUGCAUUGUAUGGUAAGUUUCGAAUUAUAUAUAUAUAUUCUUAAUGAUGCGAAGCUACAGUAAGUUGAUUGAAUUUUUAUUUAUAGAGGCCUUAUGUUUUCUAUGUAAAAUGUAAUCUGCAGUCAAUAUUUGUGAAUGGUUUGCUCCUUGUUUGAUUUAUGGACACCAUGAUAUGAUUUUGUAAAUUUCAGGUGGAAUGAUUUUCUAUGAUUUUAUCUUGCUUGUGGAUAGAGGAAUUUGAAAUGCAAAAUUUGAAUUUGAUUUUGUAUAGCUUUUCUUCAUUGAUUAGGUUCAUGAGAUUUAACUUGGGUUAAUAAAUGCUGGAAAAACUUAAUUUAUGAAUGUCUUGAAAUGUCUUGAAAAAAGGUGUCCAUAUGCAUUGAUUGCAUUCUCAACUAUAUUUAUGAAUCUACAUUUGCUCAUGAAUCUAAGUAAACAAUGAGAUCUCAACUAUCCACUUUAUAUGACUGCUCGGUUACGUUUAUGAAUCUAAGUAAACAAUGAGUUAACUUCCUGUCAAAACAAUUUAAACUAAAAUCAAAUUCUCAUCUUUUUUUUUCACCCAAAUUAUUGCCUCCAAACUCAACACUCAGGUAGAUUUAUGUGUAGUGGUUGGUUUUGUACGUAUUCAUGUUAAAAUCAGCUUAUACAUAAUUUAUACCUCUCCAAGCCUAUGAUCUGUUAUUAUUUGUAUUUGUUGUUGAUGUCAAAUAUUUUAGACCAGUGCAUACUACUGUGUUUGCAUUAAUUGCUUUCAAGUGGGUGCAGUCAAUGAAAAAUUACAACGAAUUCUCUCUCUUGGUUUCUUUAUUGCUUUGCGGUGCAAUUGAGAAAAAAUAGGUGAAUGAGUUGACAUCCAUGCUGUAUUACAUUUUUGUCUUGUUAUGUGCUGUAUAUCUGUUAAGUUGUCACUAGUUAAUUUUCUUGGUUCAGCAAUGGAGCUUGCUUUGUCUCUG
rnacentral:misc_RNA from 1 species